GAUGAAGAACGCAGCGAAAUGCGAUACGCAAUGUGAAUUGCAGAAUUCAGUGAAUCAUCGAGUCUUUGAACGCACAUUGCGCCCCCUGGUAUUCCGGGGGGCAUGCCUGUCCGAGCGUCAUUGCUGCCCUCAAGCCCGGCUUGUGUGUUGGGUCUCGUCCCCCUUCCCGGGGGGACGGGCCCGAAAGGCAGCGGCGGCACCGCGUCCGGUCCUCGAGCGUAUGGGGCUUUGUCACCCGCUCUGUAGGCCCGGCCGGCGCUUGCCGAUCAACCAAAACUUUUUUCCAGGUUGACCUCGGAUCAGGUAGGGAUACCCGCUGAACUUAAGCAUAUCAAUAAGCGGAGGA
rnacentral:misc_RNA from 1 species